ACGCGCGGAACCUUACCAGGUCUUGACAUCCCACUGACCGCUAUGGAGACAUAGCUUUCCCUUCGGGGACAGUGGUGACAGGUGGUGCAUGGUUGUCGUCAGCUCGUGUCGUGAGAUGUUGGGUUAAGUCCCGCAACGAGCGCAACCCUUGUUCUUAGUUGCCAUCGUUUAGUUGGGCACUCUAAGGAGACUGCCGGUGACAAACCGGAGGAAGGUGGGGAUGACGUCAAAUCAUCAUGCCCCUUAUGACCUGGGCUACACACGUGCUACAAUGGAUGGUACAAAGGGCUGCAAGACCGCGAGGUUUAGCCAAUCCCAUAAAACCAUUCUCAGUUCGGAUUGCAGGCUGCAACUCGCCUGCAUGAAGCUGGAAUCGCUAGUAAUCGCGGAUCAGCAUGCCGCGGUGAAUACGUUCCCGGGCCUUGCACUCACCGCCCGU
rnacentral:rRNA from 1 species